rnacentral:rRNA from 1 species
CUCCGGGUUGAUCCUGCCGGACCUGACUGCUAUCGGAUUGGUACUAAGCCAUGCGAGUCAUUGUAGCAAUACAAGGCGGACGGCUCAGUAACACGUAGUCAACCUAACUCGUGGACGUGGAUAACCUCGGGAAACUGAGAAUAAACCACGAUAGAUCAUAGUGCCUGGAAUGGCUUAUGGUCCAAACAGUUUACUGCCAUGGGAUGGGACUGCGGCCUAUCAGCUUGUUGGUGAGGUAAUGGCCCACCAAGGCGAUUACAGGUACGGGCUCUGAGAGGAGAAGCCCGGAGAUGGGUACUGAGACACGGACCCAGGCCCUAUGGGGCGCAGCAGGCGAGAAACCUUAGCAAUGUGCGAAAGCACGACUGGGUCAGUCCGAGUGAUUCCUGAUAAAGGAGUCUUUUGCUUGUCCUAAAAGCACAGGUGAAUAAGGGGUGGGCAAGUCUGGUGUCAGCCGCCGCGGUAAUACCAGCACCUCGAGUGGUCAGGACGUUUAUUGGGCCUAAAGCAUCCGUAGCCGGCUCUGCAAGUCUUCGGUUAAAUCCACCUGCUCAACAGAUGGGCUGCUGGAGAUACUACAGAGCUAGGGAGUGGGAGAGGCAGACGGUAUUCAGUGGGUAGGGGUAAAAUCCUCUGAUCCAUUGAGGACCACCAGUGGCGAAGGCGGUCUGCCAGAACACGUUCGACGGUGAGGGAUGAAAGCUGGGGGAGCAAACCGGAUUAGAUACCCGGGUAGUCCCAGCCGUAAACGAUGCAAACUCGGUGAUGCAUUGGCUUAUGGCCAAUGCAGUGCCGCAGGGAAGCCGUUAAGUUUGCCGCCUGGGAAGUACGGACGCAAGUCUGAAACUUAAAGGAAUUGGCGGGGGAGCCA